UUUUGGAUUUGGCCCAUCAAAAAGCCAAGCCAGUCUAGGAUGCAGGCUUGGUUUAGGCAUUUGAUCGGCCCAAGAGUCGAAUCUCAUACUGAUAAUAUAUCAAAAAGUAUAUAAUCAUCUCUUAGACAAUCCUAUUUGAUCAACAUAUAUUAGUUAAAUUUUUUACAUUGUAAACUGCAUGCAUGAUAAAAAAUACGAUAC
rnacentral:lncRNA from 1 species